AAGAUUCUUGGUCAUUUAGAGGAAGUAAAAGUCGUAACAAGGUUUCCGUAGGUGAACCUGCGGAAGGAUCAUUCAUAAUAAGUGUUUUAUGGCACUUUUUAAAUCCAUAUCCACCUUGUGUGCAAUGUCAGUCGAUCUUCUUCAUGGAGUUCGACCAAACAUCAACCUAAUCUUUUAACUCUUUGUCUGAAAAAUAUUAUGAAUAAACAAUUCAAAAUACAACUUUCAACAACGGAUCUCUUGGCUCUCGCAUCGAUGAAGAACGCAGCGAAAUGCGAUACGUAAUGUGAAUUGCAGAAUUCAGUGAAUCAUCGAAUCUUUGAACGCAUAUUGCGCUCUUUGGUAUUCCGAAGAGCAUGCUUGUUUGAGUAUCAGUAAACACCUCAAAGCUUUUGGAUUUUUUUUGAAAGUUUUGGACUUGAGCAAUCCCAACACCAAUCUUUUUCAGAUCGGUGGCGGGUUGCUUGAAAUGCAGGUGCAGCUGGACAUUCUCCUGAGCUAAAAGCAUAUUCAUUUAGUCCCGUCAAACGGAUUAUUACUUUUGCUGCAGCUAACAUAAAGGGAGUUUGACCGCAUUGGCUGACUGAUGCAGGAUUUUACAAGGGUCGGCAACGAUUCUUGUUAAACUCGAUCUCAAAUCAAGUAAGACUACCCGCUGAACUUAAGCAUAUCAAUAAGCGGAGGAAAUCUU
rnacentral:rRNA from 1 species